GGGGAUAUAGCUCAGAGGUGGAGUGCUUGCCUAGCUUAAAAGAGGCCCUGGGUUCAGUCCCCAGUAUUGUAA
rnacentral:tRNA from 1 species